CACAGUAAAGUUUCUUUUUACUAUGUUUCAGUAUAUCUGUUAGCAAUGUCAUUAUGAACAUAUUAUCAAUAGUCAAGUAUCCGGCUCUAAAACCCGCUUGACACUUUGACACAAUUGCUUUAGUCUCUAGAUAUUCCGUGCUAUUAUCAUUGAGUAUACCUGUAAAUAGUUUACCCAGGCAGCUCAGGAUGGUUAUAGGGCGAUAUGAAUUUGUGUCUGUUUUCGCACCUUUACCUUUAUAGAUUGGUUUGAUGAUCCCUGUUAACCAUUGUUCGGGGAUAAUGCCGGUAACACUUAUGAGAUUGAACAGAUUUACAAGGCAAGGGC